rnacentral:rRNA from 1 species
AGCGAACGCUGGCGGCAGGCCUAACACAUGCAAGUCGAGCGGGGUUUUCGGACCUAGCGGCGGACGGGUGAGUAAUGCGUAGGAAGCUACCCGAUAGAGGGGGAUACCAGUUGGAAACGACUGUUAAUACCGCAUAAUGUCUACGGACCAAAGUGUGGGACCUUCGGGCCACAUGCUAUCGGAUGCGCCUACGUGGGAUUAGCUAGUUGGUGAGGUAAUGGCUCACCAAGGCGACGAUCCCUAGCUGGUUUGAGAGGAUGAUCAGCCACACUGGAACUGAGACACGGUCCAGACUCCUACGGGAGGCAGCAGUGGGGAAUAUUGGACAAUGGGCGCAAGCCUGAUCCAGCCAUGCCGCGUGUGUGAAGAAGGCCUUCGGGUUGUAAAGCACUUUCAGUAGGGAGGAAGGGUUAAGUGUUAAUAGUACUUAACUUUGACGUUACCUACAGAAGAAGCACCGGCUAACUCUGUGCCAGCAGCCGCCGUAAGAC